rnacentral:rRNA from 1 species
GUGAGAAAAUCUCAAUAAGAGUAUACGGUGGAUGCCUUGACAUAAGAAGACGAUGAAGGACGUAGCAGCCUGCGAUAAGCUGCGGUAAGGUGGCAAGCAACCUUUGACCCGCAGAUUUCCGAAUGGGGAAACCCCCUCUAUUGAAGAUAGAGGCAGCUCAAGCUUUUUAAGCGAGCUGGAAGACCCGGUGAACUGAAACAUCUUAGUAGCCGGAGGAAAAGAGAAUAAUAAUCAUUCCCUAAGUAGUGGCGAGCGAAAGGGGAGGAGCCUAAACCGAAAUAACUGCAGAUUAAACUUGGUUCGCCAAGUUUGAUCCUGAAGGUUCUGGAGCCAUAUGUUUUUUCGGUGUUGCAAGAUUUUAACGCUUGUUUUUCAGAACAACAAGGCGAAGUCAUAAAAGAUAAUUUUUAGCAGAAUGAGUUGGAAAGCUCAGCCAGAGACGGUGAUAGCCCGGUAAGCGAAAAGAACUAUCUCUUCGUGGUUAAAAUUCUUAAGUAGGGCGGGACUCGUGAAAUCCCGUCUGAAGCCAGGUCGACUAUGACCUAAGGCUAAAUACUUCUUAUGAUCGAUAGUGAACAAGUACCGUGAGGGAAAGGUGAAAAGCAUCCCGUUGAGGGAGGUGAAAUAGUACCUGAAACCAUAUACUUACAAGGAGUCGGAGCCCGUUUCGGCGGGUGACGGCGUGCCUAUUGAAGAAUGAGCCAACGAGUUUGUUCUAUGUGGCUUACAUAAUCUCCGUUUGGAGAGCAUGUGUAGUGAAAGCGAGGGUUAACUGCCCGUUUGUGCUUCGCUUUCGUCAUCGUUACUAGUAGCGAGACGGAAGCGUAGCAUUUGUCGCAUGGACAAGACCCGAAGCCGGGUGAUCUUGCCAUGGCCAGGUUGAAGUUCGUCGAAAGACGAAUGAAGGACCGAACCCACGCGUCGUGCAACACGCGGGGAUGAGCUGUGGUAAGCGCAGAAAUUGUAAUCGAACUCGGCAAUAGCUGGUUCUCCUCGAAAUAGCUUUAGGGCUAGCCUCGGAUGUUGACCUCAGGGGGUAGAGCACUGGAUGAGGGCGGGUCGCAAGAUACCGUCUUCAAUCAAACUCCGAAUACUUGAGGGUAGAGUCCGGGAGUUAGACUAUGGGCGCUAAGGUCCAUUAGUCGAAAGGGAAACAGCCCAGAUCGCAAUCUAAGGUCCCUAAAUCAAAGCUAAGUGUGAAAGGUAGUGUUGUGACUACGACAGUUAGGAGGUUGGCUUAGAAGCAGCCAUCCUUUAAAGAUAGCGUAAUAGCUCACUAAUUAAGUUGUUUCGCGCCGAAAAUUUAUCGGGGCUAAGCUUUGUACCGAAGAUGCGAACUUUCUGAUUUAUCAGAGAGUGGUAGAGGAGCAUUUCUUUCAGCGUUGAAGUCACGUCGUGAGGCGUGGUGGAGUGGAAGGAAGAGAGAAUGUUGGCAUGAGUAGCAAAAAGGCGGGUUGAAACCCCGCCCACCGAAAACCUAAGGUUUCCUGGGCAACGCAAAUCGACCCAGGGUUAGUCGAUCCUAAGGCGCAACCUAUGUAGUGUAGGUGUCAGCCGAUGGAAGAGCCGGUUAAUAUUCCGGCACUACUGUUGUUUUCCGAUGGGGGGACGCGGUUCUGUAGUUUAAGCGUGCUAUGAUUUGUGCGUCCAUUGUCUCAAGAAACGAUCUAGGCAAAUCCGGAUCAAUAGUUUCAAGAGAUUGUGGGAAGACGAAGUCGCAAGAUGGAGUCAAUUUAAGCAAAAGAGCCGACUAGAAAAACCUCUAGGGCUAAGACAAUAGUAACCGUACCGUAAACCGACACAGGUAGGUGAGGCGAGAAGCCUCAGGUGUACGAGAGAAACUUCGUUAAGGAACUCGGCAAAACAGCGGCCGUAAUUUAGAGAUAAGGCCUGCCCUGAGCAAUCAGGGCCGCAGCUAAAGAGCCAAAGGGACUGUUUAGCAAAAACACAGCUCUCUGCUAACUCGUAAGAGGAUGUAUAGAGGGUGAUGCCUGGCCAGUGUCCGAACGUUAAGAGGAGAGGUUAGCACUUUUGUGCGAAGCUUUGAAUCCAAGCGCGGAUGAACGCCGGCGAUAACUAUAAUCGUCCUAAGGUAGCGAAAUUCCUUGUCGGGUAAAAUUGGUCGGACUCUGCUUAUAGCAGAGAAUCAACUUGCCCGAAAAUGCAGUGAUGCAUUAAAGUAAACUGACUCAUAACGGUGAAACCUUACUAUCUAGGUUAAGAUAGAGGGCAAUACCGUGGGAACUUAUUUUUAUAUUUUAAUAAUGUAACAAUAGGACCCGUAACGACUGAGCCGAAAGGCAAGGCCCCCAUUAUAGAGGGGCAACACGUCAGCUCUUGCUAGAAAAAAAUCAUCCAUGGAGGCUUAAUUAAAAUUUAUGGAUAUAAAAUCUUAUAUUACUGGCUUUGUUGAUGGGGAAGGUUGUUUUUUAAUCUCAUUUUCUUUAAGAAGUAAAAUGAAGUUAGGAAUAGAGGUUAGACCCAGCUUUUCCGUUAGUCAACAUAGACGUAGUCAAGAUAUAAUAUACUUUCUGCAACAAUUUUUUCGUUGCGGAGGAGUGAGAUUCUCUAAAAGAGAUCAAAGCUAUAAAUUUGAAGUGCGGAAUAUUAAUGAUUUAAUAAAAAUUAUUAUUCCUCAUUUUAAGAAGUAUCCUCUAAUGACUUCCAAGAAAGAUGAAUUUGAAAAGUUUGUUCGCAUUUGUGAACUCAUAUAUUCAAAUCAUCACCUUUCCCGUGAAGGCUUAGAGAAAAUAAUUAAGCUCAGUGAAAAGUUAAAUGUUAGCGGUAAUAAGAAAUAUGAUCGCAAUUACCUCCUAAAGAUGAUAGCAAGAUGAAAGUAUAGUCUAAUCAUUAUAGUAAUAUAAUGUUAAUUUGAAGUUCCGACCUGCACGAAUGGCUUAACCACUUUGGCACUGUCUCAACGAAGUACUCGGUGAAAUUGCAGUACGAGUAAAGAUGCUCGUUAAUCAUAGUUGGACGAAAAGACCCCGUGAAGCUUUACUACAACUUGAUAUUGAAUUAGGGAUAUCCAUGUUCAGCAUAGGUGGGAGCCUUCGGGCACCAGUGAGAUACCACCCUUGUAUGUUCUUAAUUCUAACCGCGUUAAACGUGGGACAGUGUCUGGUGGGUAGUUUGUCUGGGGCGGAUGCCUCCCAAAAAGUAACGGAGGCGUUUACUAAGGUCGGCUAUCCCGGAAUGGAAACCCGGGAGAUAGUGUAAAGGCAAAAGCCGGCUUUACUGCGAGACUUACCAGUCAAGCAGUCGCGAAAGCGGAACUUAGUGAUCCGACCAUUCAAUAUAGGAUGGUGGAAGCUCAUCGGAUAAAAGCUACUCCGGGGAUAACAGGCUAGUCAGGUCCAAGAGUCCAUAUCGACGACCUGGUUCGGCACCUCGAUGUCGGCUCGUCGCAUCCUGGGGGUGAAGAAGCUCCCAAGGGUUGGGCUGUUCGCCCAUUAAAGCGGCACGCGAGCUGGGUUCA